rnacentral:rRNA from 1 species
GAUGAACGCUGGCGGCGUGCCUAAUACAUGCAAGUCGAACGCUGAAGGAGGAGCUUGCUCUUCUGGAUGAGUUGCGAACGGGUGAGUAACGCGUAGGUAACCUGCCUGGUAGCGGGGGAUAACUAUUGGAAACGAUAGCUAAUACCGCAUGACAACAGUUAUUGCAUGAUAACUGUUUAAAAGGGGCAACUGCUCCACUACCAGAUGGACCUGCGUUGUAUUAGCUAGUUGGUGAGGUAACGGCUCACCAAGGCGACGAUACAUAGCCGACCUGAGAGGGUGAUCGGCCACACUGGGACUGAGACACGGCCCAGACGCCUACGGGAGGCAGCAGUAGGGAAUCUUCGGCAAAGGACGGAAGACUGACCGAGCAACGCCGCGUGAGUGAAGAAGGUUUUCGGAUCGUAAAGCUCUGUUGUAAGAGAAGAACGAGUGUGAGAGUGGAAAGUUCACACUGUGACGGUAUCUUACCAGAAAGGGACGGCUAACUACGUG